GCGACGGGUGAGUAACACGUGAGCAACCUGCCCCUGACUCCGGGAUAAGCGGUGGAAACGCCGUCUAAUACCGGAUACGACCCGUCGUCUCAUGACGGUGGGUGGAAAGUUUUUCGGUCAGGGAUGGGCUCGCGGCCUAUCAGCUUGUUGGUGGGGUAACGGCCUACCAAGGCGAUUACGGGUAGCCGGCCUGAGAGGGCGACCGGCCACACUGGGACUGAGACACGGCCCAGACUCCUGCGGGAGGCAGCAGUGGGGAAUAUUGCGCAAUGGGCGAAAGCCUGACGCAGCGACGCCGCGUGGGGGAUGACGGCCUUCGGGUUGUAAACCUCUUUUACCACCAACGCAGGCCCGGGGUUCUCUCCGGGUUGACGGUAGGUGGGGAAUAAGGACCGGCUAACUACGUGCCAGCAGCCGCGGUAAUACGUAGGGUCCGAGCGUUGUCCGGAAUUAUUGGGCGUAAAGAGCUCGUAGGCGGCGUGUCGCGUCUGCUGUGAAAGACCGGGGCUUAACUCCGGUUCUGCAGUGGAUACGGGCAUGCUAGAGGUAGGUAGGGGAGACUGGAAUUCCUGGUGUAGCGGUGAAAUGCGCAGAUAUCAGGAGGAACACCGGUGGCGAAGGCGGGUCUCUGGGCCUUACCUGACGCUGAGGAGCGAAAGCAUGGGGAGCGAACAGGAUUAGAUACCCUGGUAGUCCAUGCCGUAAACGUUGGGCGCUAGGUGUGGGGACUUUCCACGGUUUCCGCGCCGUAGCUAACGCAUUAAGCGCCCCGCCUGGGGAGUACGGCCGCAAGGCUAAAACUCAAAGGAAUUGACGGGGGCCCGCACAAGCGGCGGAGCAUGUUGCUUAAUUCGACGCAACGCGAAGAACCUUACCAAGGUUUGACAUCACCCGUGGACCUGCAGAGAUGUGGGGUCAUUUAGUUGGCGGGUGACAGGUGGUGCAUGGCUGUCGUCAGCUCGUGUCGUGAGAUGUUGGGUUAAGUCCCGCAACGAGCGCAACCCUUGUUCCAUGUUGCCAGCACGUAGUGGUGGGGACUCAUGGGAGACUGCCGGGGUCAACUCGGAGGAAGGUGGGGAUGACGUCAAGUCAUCAUGCCCCUUAUGUCUUGGGCUGCAAACAUGCUACAAUGGCCGGUACAAUGGGCGUGCGAUGCCGUAAGGUGGAGCGAAUCCCUAAAAGCCGGUCUCAGUUCGGAUUGGGGUCUGCAACUCGACCCCAUGAAGGUGGAGUCGCUAGUAAUCGCGG
rnacentral:rRNA from 1 species